rnacentral:guide_RNA from 1 species
AAUUCACUGCAGAGAUAUAGUAGAUGAUGUAAAU